rnacentral:rRNA from 1 species
UACGGGGGGGGCAAGCGUUGUUCGGAAUUACUGGGCGUAAAGGGCUCGUAGGUGGCCAACUAAGUCAUACGUGAAAUCCCUCAGCUUAACUGGGGAACUGCGCCUGAUACUGGUUGGCUUGAGUUUGGGAGAGGGACGCGGAAUUCCAGGUGUAGCGGUGAAAUGCGUAGAUAUCUGGAGGAACACCGGUGGCGAAGGCGGAUCUCUGGGCCAUUACUGACGCUGAGGAGCGAAAGCGUGGGGAGCGAACAGG